rnacentral:rRNA from 1 species
UACGUAGGGACCAAGCGUUGUCCGGAUUUAUUGGGCGUAAAGAGCUCGUAGGCGGCCCUCCACGUCGGAUGUGAAAGCUCAGGGCUCAACCCUGAGAUGCCAUUCGAUACGGGAAGGCUAGAGGUAGGUAGGGGAAAGUGGAAUUCCUGGUGUAGCGGUGAAAUGCGCAGAUAUCAGGAGGAACACCGGUGGCGAAGGCGGCUUUCUGGGCCUUACCUGACGCUGAGGAGCGAAAGCGUGGGGAGCAAACAGG